CCUACAUGAAGUCGGAAUCGCUAGUAAUCGCGGAUCAGCAUGCCGCGGUGAAUACGUUCCCGGGCCUUGUACACACCGCCCGUCACACCAUGAGAGUUUGUAACACCCAAAGCCGGUGGGGUAACCUUUUGGAGCCAGCCGUCUAAGGUGGGACAGAUGAUUAGGGUGAAGUCGUAACAAGGUAGC
rnacentral:rRNA from 1 species